GAGGAAAAGAAACCAACAGGGAUUGCCUCAGUAACGGCGAGUGAAGCGGCAAAAGCUCAAAUUUGAAAUCCCCCCGGGGAGUUGUAAUUUGAAGAUUGCGUCUUGGAGGCGACCGUGUCUAUGUUCCUUGGAACAGGACGUCACAGAGGGUGAGAAUCCCGUGCGGCACGGCCCCCGGCUCCUUAUAAGGCGCUCUCGACGAGUCGAGUUGUUUGGGAAUGCAGCUCAAAGUGGGUGGUAAAUUCCAUCUAAAGCUAAAUACAGGCGAGAGACCGAUAGCGAACAAGUACAGUGAUGGAAAGAUGAAAAGCACUUUGAAAAGAGAGUGAAACAGCACGUGAAAUUGUUGAAAGGGAAGGGCAUGCCGUCAGAUUGUCAGUGUGGGUAAGAAGCGGGGUACAAAGACUGUGGAACGUGGCCCUCGGGUGUUAUAGCCGCAGUUCAUGCCCCGUCUCUUUCCGAGGCCUGCUUUGAGGACACCGACGUAAUGACGGUACGCCGCCCGUCU
rnacentral:rRNA from 1 species